rnacentral:rRNA from 1 species
CAACCCAGGGAAACUUGGACUAAUACCGAAUAAGCCCUUACGGGGAAAGAUUUAUCGCCGAAAGAUUGGCCCGCGUCUGAUUAGCUAGUUGGUGAGGUAACGGCUCACCAAGGCGACGAUCAGUAGCUGGUCUGAGAGGAUGAUCAGCCACAUUGGGACUGAGACACGGCCCAAACUCCUACGGGAGGCAGCAGUGGGGAAUAUUGGACAAUGGGCGCAAGCCUGAUCCAGCCAUGCCGCGUGAGUGAUGAAGGCCCUAGGGUUGUAAAGCUCUUUUGUGCGGGAAGAUAAUGACGGUACCGCAAGAAUAAGCCCCGGCUAACUUCGUGCCAGCAGCCGCGGUAAUACGGAGGGGGCUAGCGUUGCUCGGAAUCACUGGGCGUAAAGGGUGCGUAGGCGGGUCUUUAAGUCAGGGGUGAAAUCCUGGAGCUCGACUCCAGAACUGCCUUUGAUACUGGAGAGCUUGAGUCCGGAAGAGGUGAGUGGAACU